ACUACGGGGAGCUGCAGUGAGGAAUAUUGGUCAAUGGCCGGAAGGCUGAACCAGCCAUGCCGCGUGAAGGGCAGGGACCUAGGGGCGUUAAACUUCUUUUGUGCGGGAGCAAGAAUGGUCACGUGUGGCCAGACGAGAGUACCGGACGAAUAAGCAGCGGCUAACGCCGGGGCAGCAGCCGCGGUAAUACGGGGGAUGCAAGCGUUAUCCGGAUUUAUUGGGGUUAAAGGGUGCGUAGGCUGUGAGGUAAGUCAGCGGUGAAAUGCCCCCGCUCACCGGGGUGAAGUGCCAUUGUUACUGCCUUGCUGGCAUGCGGAUGCCGUGGGAGGAAUGUGUGGUGUAGCGGU
rnacentral:rRNA from 1 species